UCGCGCCGUCGGGCCCGGGGGUUUCUCCUAGGCGCCACGCCGUGACAGGCAAGAGCGAAGCGAGUCAGGGGCUCGCACGAAAGCCGCCGUGGCGCAAUGAAGGUGAAGGCCGGCGCCGCUCGCCGGCCGAGGUGGGAUCCCGAGGCCUCUCCAGUCCGCCGAGGGCGCACCACCGGCCCGUCUCGCCCGCCGCGCCGGGGAGGUGGAGCACGAGCGCACGUGUUAGGACCCGAAAGAUGGUGAACUAUGCCUGGGCAGGGCGAAGCCAGAGGAAACUAUGGUGGAGGUCCGUAGCGGUCCGGACGUGCAAAUCGGUCGUCCGACCUGGGUAUAGGGGCGAAAGACUAAUCGAACCAUCUAGUAGCUGGUUCCCUCCGAAGUUUCCCUCAGGAUAGCUGGCGCUCUCGCAAGA
rnacentral:lncRNA from 1 species